GAGACUACACUUUAAGGGAUCACUUCUGUACUUCACUCCUAUAGAAGUUUCUCUGCUUGUGUAAAGCACUGGAAAUCACGAGUGGAAGGUGCCGCAUUCUCUCGAGUGUGAAGCCAGCUCUUGGCCUUGCUUUGCUGCCAUUUGCCAUUGACGGUGGGGGGAGAAUAAGAGGGAGAAAACGCAGUCUGAGUGGC
ensembl:snoRNA U3 Small nucleolar RNA U3